rnacentral:snRNA from 1 species
GUGCUUGCUUCAGUAGUACAUAUACUAAAAUUGGGACGAUACAGAGAAGAUCAGCAUGGCCCCUGCACAAGGAUGACAUGCAAAUUCAUAAAGCGUUCCGUAUUUUU